UUUCCGGUUGAUCCUGCCGGAGGCCACUGCUAUCGGGGUCCGACUAAGCCAUGCGAGUCAAGGGGCUCCCUUCGGGGAGCACCGGCGCACGGCUCAGUAACACGUGGCUAACCUACCCUCGGGUGGGGGAUAACCUCGGGAAACUGAGGCUAAUCCCCCAUAGGGGAGGAGGUCUGGAAUGAUCCCUCCCCGAAAGGCGUAAGCCGCCCGAGGAUGGGGCUGCGGCGGAUUAGGUAGUUGGUGGGGUAACGGCCCACCAAGCCUACGAUCCGUACGGGCCCUGAGAGGGGGAGCCCGGAGAUGGACACUGAGACACGGGUCCUGGCCCUACGGGGCGCAGCAGGCGCGAAACCUCCGCAAUGCGCGAAAGCGCGACGGGGGGACCCCGAGUGCCCACGCUCUGCGUGGGCUUUUCCGGAGUGUAAACAGCUCCGGGAAUAAGGGCUGGGCAAGUCCGGUGCCAGCAGCCGCGGUAGUACCGGCGGCCCAAGUGGUGGCCACUGUUAUUGGGCCUAAAGCGUCCGUAGCCGGCCCGGUAAGUCUCUGCUUAAAUCCUGCGGCUCAACCGCAGGGCUGGCAGAGAUACUGCCGGGCUUGGGACCGGGAGAGGCCGGGGGUACCCCAGGGGUAGCGGUGAAAUGCGUUGAUCCCUGGGGGACCACCUGUGGCGAAGGCGCCCGGCUGGAACGGGUCCGACGGUGAGGGACGAAGGCCAGGGGAGCAAACCGGAUUAGAUACCCGGGUAGUCCUGGCUGUAAACUCUGCGGACUAGGUGUCGCGUCGGCUUCGGGCCGACGCGGUGCCGAAGGGAAGCCGUUAAGUCCGCCGCCUGGGGAGUACGGUUGCAAGACUGAAACUUAAAGGAAUUGGCGGGGGAGCACUACAACGGGUGGAGCCUGCGGUUUAAUUGGAUUCAACGCCGGGCAUCUUACCAGGGGCGACGGCAGGAUGAAGGCCAGGUUGACGACCUUGCCAGACGCGCCGAGAGGUGGUGCAUGGCCGUCGUCAGCUCGUACCGUGAGGCGUCCUGUUAAGUCAGGUAACGAGCGAGACCCGUGCCCCAUGUUGCUACCCUCCCCUCCGGGGGAGGGGCACUCAUGGGGGACCGCCGGCGCUAAGCCGGAGGAAGGUGCGGGCAACGACAGGUCCGCAUGCCCCGAAUCCCCUGGGCUACACGCGGGGUACAAUGGCCGGGACAAUGGGACGCGACCCUGAAAGGGGGAGCGAAUCCCCUAAACCCGGUGGUAGUCCGGAUCGAGGGCUGUAACUCGCCCUCGUGAAGCCGGAAUCCGUAGUAAUCGCGCCUCACCAUGGCGCGGUGAAUGCGUCCCUGCUCCUUGCACACACCGCCCGUCACGCCACCCGAGUUGAGCCCAAGUGAGGCCCUGUCCGCAAGGGCAGGGUCGAACUUGGGUUCAGC
rnacentral:rRNA from 1 species